CCGCGCUUUUAUUAGAACAAAACCAAUCGCUUCAGCACUUCGGUGUCGUUGCGUAAUUUGGUGAGUCUGAAUAACUUAGCAGAUCGCACGGUCUAGCACCGGCGACGAAUCUUUCAAAUGUCUGCCUUAUCAACUGUCGAUGGUAGUUUACAUGCCUACCAUGGUGAUAACGGGUAACAGAGAAUAAGGGUUUGACUCUGGAGAGGCAGCCUGAGAGACGGCUACCACAUCCAAGGAAG
rnacentral:rRNA from 1 species